rnacentral:rRNA from 1 species
GGAAAGGCGCGCGAUACAGGGUGACAGCCCCGUACACAAAAAUGCACAUGCUGUGAGCUCGAUGAGUAGGGCGGGACACGUGGUAUCCUGUCUGAAUAUGGGGGGACCAUCCUCCAAGGCUAAAUACUCCUGACUGACCGAUAGUGAACCAGUACCGUGAGGGAAAGGCGAAAAGAACCCCGGCGAGGGGAGUGAAAAAGAACCUGAAACCGUGUACGUACAAGCAGUGGGAGCACGCUUAGGCGUGUGACUGCGUACCUUUUGUAUAAUGGGUCAGCGACUUAUAUUCUGUAGCAAGGUUAACCGAAUAGGGGAGCCGAAGGGAAACCGAGUCUUAACUGGGCGUUAAGUUGCAGGGUAUAGACCCGAAACCCGGUGAUCUAGCCAUGGGCAGGUUGAAGGUUGGGUAACACUAACUGGAGGACCGAACCGACUAAUGUUGAAAAAUUAGCGGAUGACUUGUGGCUGGGGGUGAAAGGCCAAUCAAACCGGGAGAUAGCUGGUUCUCCCCGAAAGCUAUUUAGGUAGCGCCUCGUGAAUUCAUCUCCGGGGGUAGAGCACUGUUUCGGCAAGGGGGUCAUCCCGACUUACCAACCCGAUGCAAACUGCGAAUACCGGAGAAUGUUAUCACGGGAGACACACGGCGGGUGCUAACGUCCGUCGUGAAGAGGGAAACAACCCAGACCGCCAGCUAAGGUCCCAAAGUCAUGGUUAAGUGGGAAACGAUGUGGGAAGGCCCAGACAGCCAGGAUGUUGGCUUAGAAGCAGCCAUCAUUUAAAGAAAGCGUAAUAGCUCACUGGUCGAGUCGGCCUGCGCGGAAGAUGUAACGGGGCUAAACCAUGCACCGAAGCUGCGGCAGCGACGCUGAUGCGUUGUUGGGUAGGGGAGCGUUCUGUAAGCCUGCGAAGGUGUGCUGUGAGGCAUGCUGGAGGUAUCAGAAGUGCGAAUGCUGACAUAAGUAACGAUAAAGCGGGUGAAAAGCCCGCUCGCCGGAAGACCAAGGGUUCC